rnacentral:rRNA from 1 species
UACGGGGGGGCAAGCGUUGUUCGGAAUUACUGGGCGUAAAGGGCUCGUAGGCGGCCAACUAAGUCAGACGUGAAAUCCCUCGGCUUAACCGGGGAACUGCGUCUGAUACUGGAUGGCUUGAGUUUGGGAGAGGGAUGCGGAAUUCCAGGUGUAGCGGUGAAAUGCGUAGAUAUCUGGAGGAACACCGGUGGCGAAGGCGGCAUCCUGGACCAACACUGACGCUGAGUGAGCGAAAGCCAGGGGAGCAAACGGGG